rnacentral:rRNA from 2 species
UCGGAAUUACUGGGCGUAAAGCGUGCGUAGGUGGUGAUUUAAGUCUGUUGUGAAAGCCCUGGGCUCAACCUGGGAAUUGCAGUGGAUACUGGGUCACUAGAGUGUGGUAGAGGGUAGCGGAAUUCCCGGUGUAGCAGUGAAAUGCGUAGAGAUCGGGAGGAACAUCCGUGGCGAAGGCGGCUACCUGGACCAACACUGACACUGAGGCACGAAAGCGUGGGGAGCAAACAGGAUUAGAUACCCUGGUAGUCCACGCCCUAAACGAUGCGAACUGGAUGUUGGGUGCAAUUUGGCACGCAGUAUCGAAGCUAACGCGUUAAGUUCGCCGCCUGGGGAGUACGGUCGCAAGACUGAAACUCAAAGGAAUUGACGGGGGCCCGCACAAGCGGUGGAGUAUGUGGUUUAAUUCGAUGCAACGCGAAGAACCUUACCUGGUCUUGACAUCC